rnacentral:tRNA from 1 species
GCGUAAUUGGUGGUUUAGUGGUAAAAUUCUCCGUUUGCCAUUCGAGCAGCGUCGGGGAGCCCUGGGUUCGAUUCCCAGAUUACGCA